CGUGAAUUUUAUGAAAGAAUUGUGACACUGAAUGUACAAUCAGCCAGCCAUCAACGUAAACGCUAAUGUUUGUUGCCGCAAUACGUCAUUGAUCAACGGUCGACUUAAUUCAAGUAGAUUUGUGUUGAAAAAAGAUCACAAGCACAGAGAUCAGUCGAGUCAUUCGUUCCCAACAUCGGGUUUCUUUGUUCCCCUCUUCCUCUCUCUCUCUCUCUCGUUACGAGGCAGGCUACUGCAAGUAGAAGGCAAAGAAGGAGAGGACGGCGGCCCCAAAGGCGGCUCCAACAGCAGGGGUGAUCGCGAAGGACGCGCUGGCGGGGCCGGGAGCCGGAGCCUCGGCUGCAAGGGCGGUGGUGGCCGACGCGGCGGCGACGAGGACGGCACAGGCGAUCUUUCCCAUCUCCAUUUCUGGCGGCGGUGUGGCUUUAGAGCUGCGGAAGAGAUGAUAGAGAGGGAGAAAGAGAAACUUUCUUAGGAUGGCUUGUUCCUCCUCCUCCUCUGCAGGCCUGAGGAGGAAUGUGGGAUGGGAAGGAGGGUUUUCUAGGGUGUUUCCGUGGUCGGGAUGGAUAGUCGGAGUCGGAGAUGCCAACUUCAAAGCUGUGCGUUGUAAUUAGAGGAGCGUUUUGCGUGCGUGGGAAUCGGUCAUUUGGUCAACCUCGUUGACCUGGGCCAGUUGUGAAGCUUAAUGUAAAAAAAGCUUAUAAAUUAUAUCCGACCAAUAAAAAAAUAUUAUCUUAUUGCCCCAGCAGACCAUAUGAGUUGGAAUUCCUUUUAGCUUGAUCCAUUUAUUCGGUUUCAAUUUUACGUGUAAAGCGUAUAUAAUUUAUAUGUGAGAAUACUUCUCUGACUACUAAAGUUUUUGGAAUUAUUAAUAUAUAUAUAUAUAUAUAUAUAUAUAUAUAUAUCUCUCUCUCUCUCUCUCUCUCUCUUCUAUCCGAACCGAACCGAACCGGCCCGAACCAAUCCCACCCCUCCCGACUCAUUUCCGGCUCUAUCUUGCUUCUGCUGCUGUCAUCGUUCCUUCCCCCGUCCAUGGCGGAAGCAAAAGCUGAGACACCCACCUGGGAGCAAAGAAUGCACACUCUCACCCACAUCUUAACCCACCCCACCACUGCGCCAUCCCUCCACUCCCAGCUCUUCGUUGCCUCCCACGUCCCCUGCUUCCUCUCCUGGGAUUACCCCCCUUUCCUAUGCCGCCCGGCCCCUUUAGCCGCCGGAUUCCCCCCGCCGCUUCUCCGCUGGUCCUUCGCCAUCUUCCUCCGCCGCUCCUCGCGCCUGGGCCUACCCGCCUCUUCCUGGCGCGCCAAGUGCCCCUUCCAGCAGCCGCCGCCCCUCGUCCUCUCCUCCGCCGUGGACCCGCCGCCUCUUCGCUGGGGGCCAGAGGAGCGCCGGGAGUCCGUUCGCAAGCGUCUGAGGCGGGGGCGGAUCGGUGUCAGGGUCUCGCCCGUCCUGGCCUUCGCGGUUCCCAAUCUCGCGCUCCUCUCGCUUCUCUUCUGGGAACCGCUCUGGCGUCUUCCGGAGACCUAAAGUUGACGCCCGGUACGCUUUUGUUCAGAAUCCAAUCAUCGUAUAAGCUUUCUGUGGCUUUCUGUAAUAGCAGAGACUACAUAGAGGAUGAAUUCAGUGCUUUCAUUAGAACAUGGCUACCGCAUAUGGAUAAUUGUUUUUUUUAUAUAUUUUUGGUUGGAAAACUGUAUAAUUUAAUCCAGAAAAAAAUGAUUUAUGAUUUAGAAUCAUUCAUGCAUUAGCCUAAUAUAGAUCAACGUGAACUCUCUUUGAUAAACUAAAAUAUUAAAAUGCUGGUCAAAACGAUUAAUCUUAUCUGAUAUAUUUUGAAGUUAACACAGCAAAAGGAUUCACAAAUAAAAACGCAAACGUCCGUAAAUUGUUGAAGCUUCCACAAAAGCCAGACAGACUAAGCAAUAAAUUUACCCUUUUAUUUUUGGUUGUCUCGUAAUACCUUCUACAACUUGGCCAACUCCUGACUGAAUAGAAGUAAUCUAGUCUAGUUAGUAAAGAUUUUGACAGUAAGUUCUUGAGCUCAAAUCUCACCUUAGUUAUUUGCCCUUUGCAAAAAAAAAAACUUAAAAUGCUGAUUGAUGCCACCAGAAGUUCCAAUUUCUCUGACUAAUAGACUUUUUAUUUGAUGUAUUUAUUCAUGGUUGUCCUCAAGUCACAGGAUUUGAUCAAUUCUGUAAACUAUGGCUAUAAGCAGUGGCAGGAUAAUCUGACACUGACUUUGUUAUCACAUCAUCAUAGAGCUAGUUGAUUACAAUUAGUUUUCUUGUAUGCCUUUUUUUCUUCAUGUAUGUCAUCCUGCAUAAAAUCGUAAAACUUGUAAGUUAUUAAAAAAAAAAAAAAAAAAGCUUUUGAUGGUGGGAGUUUAUUGACUAGGUUAACAAACUGCAAGUUCAUGUUGAAGAUUUUCCAUUCACAUAAUAUUGUUUAAGAUCAAACAAGGGGUUCAUUCCUUGUCUCAUAUAAAAAGAUAAGAUUAAUAUGACAUGUCUGGAGAUAGAUUAUCUCUAGAAUAAAAGUCUGCAGCAUUUUGUUUGAUGCAGCAGCAAAGUUAACUGUCAGAUAUGUGAUUAUUUUGUGGCUAUUACAAAUUUUUUUAUGUGUGGUAUCAUUACGGUGCCCAAAAGGCAUUAAGAAAUUAAGUUUAUCAUGAUUUUAGACUGAUGUGGUCAGUGUGGUUUCAGAUGAGAUGUUUUAGCCUUCAUCAUGAGCACAAUGUAUUCAUUUGUUGUGACCUUCAUUUGGGAAUUGCGGAAUCUAAUGCCAAGGUAUUAAUAAUGGAUAAAGAACUUACAUCUGGUCAGAUAAAAAUAGUAAAUAAUAAUAUCUUAUUAUAAUGAUUGUAUUUGAUGAAUUACCUUUUUGCUAUUUGAGCAAAGCAAACUGGAAAUUGCAUCUGCCAGUAUAGUUUCAUAGAGACAUUUUUUUCUGGAAUGUUUAAUACUGGUUUAAAUAGGUGUCUGGGCACUCGUCCAAGUGUUUGGGUGAGGUGAGGUGAGGCCUGAGCACCUCAGGCUUCGACCAGGCGGCAC
rnacentral:lncRNA from 1 species